rnacentral:tRNA from 1 species
AAAUGAGAAGUAAAUUACAAUUAGUUUCGACCUAAUUAUAGAGAUAAUCUUUAUUCUCCUCAUUUA